CUGAGCGUUACUUGACCUGGACUUGUAGUCGUCACUUGUAACAUACACAAAUGUUAUCCCCGAAUCACCCUCGCCCCGGUUUGUACUUCCUUGUUCAUCAUUGAGACCCUCAGCAUUUCAUUCGUGUCGCUCGAGAUUGUAGUCUGCCUAUGACGAUUUGACUUUAGCAAAAAUCUCACCCAAUGUAAUAAACGAUGCGUAUACGCCACGCCAAUAAAACCAAGCAUGAACGCCAUGCGGAAACCAGGCGCUGGGUAAAGCUCAAGUAAAUAAGUGGUUCAAGCGUUUCGAAGACGGACAACAAAUAAUGGAGGACGAUCCUUUUCUGGAAGACAUGUGAUAACGAUCACGAAAGAGAACGUAGAAAGGGUAAAACAACUUAUGCUUGCCGACCAUUGAAUCGUCGCGAAAGAACUAACGGAAGAGAUAGAGCUUAGGAGAGGCCAUUUUGACCGAUCGUUUAAGCUUCAGAAGGCUUACGACAUGACUACGACGAGAAUAUCCAGCAUAUGAACAUCUAUGAAGAACAACGCCAGAAAAACGUCUUAGCAUUUAUGCUUGCUUGAAUUCGUCCUUACGUCCAUGAUUAAACAUAGAUAUAAGGCCAAUCUUCCCAAUAUGGUUUUCAAAUCGAGCCCCGAUCGAAGAAAGUCGCACGAUCCAGGUCCAAAACCAAGGUGACCCUCAUGGUUUUCUUUGACAGUCGAAGAAGAAUCAUUUCUCAUGGGUACAUGUCGGCCGCCUCUCAGUCAUUAAGGGGUACUAUCAAGCUUGCAAAGUAUUGGGGAAGUCUCUACGAGGCAAGGGGCCAGGAUUGUUUGCACAGUCCUGGGCCUUUGAUCACACAAUGCACCGAUUUACAGUGCACUAUUCGUAGAACAAUUUUUGUAAAAGAAGAAUAUGUUGUCUUAACCCCCCGGAUUCAGCGGACCUAGCCCCAACGACUGCUUGCUUACUCUUUAACAUGAUAGAAGAAAAGAACAAUCGCUUAACGAGCUCAGGGCUAUGCCGACAGUCGAAUUUGACGAACGAUUUAAUCACUGGAAACCCGACGGCAUG